UUUUUUUUUUUUUUCUUUAAAGGUUUUAUUUAUUUAUUCAUGAGAGACACAGAGAGAGGCAGAGACACAGGCAGAGGGGGAAGCAGGCUCUAUCUAUGCAGGGAGCCCACCCGAUGCGGGACUCGAUCCCGGGUCUCCAGGAUCACGCCCUGGGCCAAAGGCCGAUGCUCUGCCGCUGAGCCACCCAGGCGUCCCAGUGCCUUGGUUUGCAAAAUGGGGCAGCCCUCGCACAUCUUGUUCCAGUCGUCGGCCUAUGCUAAAGCGAACCACCUUGAAUUCCACGCUCCGCUCUUGCCACCUUUUGGGCAGUGCUGUGUGAGAAGGAAACUGUCACUUCUUAUGAAACACUAUGUGAAUACAUCAGUGGGAGAGAGCACAGCCGUGCUAUGGGGAAGAUUUAAGAGAAGCUCCACCGUGCUGGAUAAAAGUCUAUUAUUGACAGAAUAAUAGAAGCUGCUUUCUUGGCACGAGGUGAAGUGACAGGGCUAAUUCAACUUCUCCAGCUAAAUAGGAGAGGUUAGAAUUUUUUACACUAGCACAUUUGGCUUCUUCCCUGAAGGCACAUCAAUGUUCAAGUCUAGUUUGGCUUCAAUAAGUCAAAACAAUAGUUAGCCCGAGCCUAUUUGAUUGAACAGGAUUUUUAUAUGUCUCCUGGGCAGUAGCUUAGUUUUCUCAAUCUUCUAUGUAAAAUCGAUAAGCCACAAACUAUUUUUAGAGAGCCUACUGCGUGCGUACAAAUGCACUUACUAUAAGGUGCCAUGAAGUACAAAAAUGAGUUAGACUCUAUCCUCUAUGACUUUUCAGUUUAGUACGAAAAAUGAAACAGAUACAUCAGAUGACUAAUAUAAGUUCCUAAGUGAUGAGUGCCAGGAAGGGAAGACCAAAUAAUGCCAUAAAAGAUAGGAUCAGGAGUGGUAUCAUAGAUAAAGCGGUAUCUCAAAGGGAGCCUGGGAGUAGAGGCAGGAUUUAACCAAGAGGGAAAAGCAUUCCAGAAAUUCCAUACAAAGGCAGGGCAGUGGGAAAGGAACUUUGGAAAAGAUGAGUCUCCAGGUUUGGCUGAAAUAGGGCUUCCCAAAUUUAUGCAUCAGAAUCACCUAGAAAGCUUGUUAGAACAGAUAGCUGAGGGUGGGGGGCAGGGAACAGAUAGCUGGGCACCACUUCCCAGUUUGUGGUUCACUGGGGCUGUGAAGGGGUCCAAGAAUUUACAUGUGUAACAAGCUCCUGAGUGAUGCUGAUGCAGCUGGUGCAGGUACCACAUUGAGACCAUUGGGUUGCAGUGAUGAAUUCAUUAGGAAACCAGAAGAAAAUGAGGCAAAAGAAAAUGGUUCAGGCUAAAAAAGAAAAAGAAGAAGAAGAAACGAAAACAUCAUAGUGAGCCCUGAAUGCCGAUCUAAGUCAGCACACCACGAAUAAAGCUACUUAGUGUUUCAGAGCAAAAGAAUAAGAAAAUUGGUUUUGAGAUGAACAGACACCUAAGUGCGGCACCAUUAGGCCGGAGCAAGGAGUCCCUGGUGAAAAGCAACUCAGACCACAGAGCAAUGGUGGUCUGGGUGGGAACUGAAAAGAAGGGAAGCGAUGACUGAUUUGCUUCAAGCACUAAUUUGAUGUAUGACUCUUCAAGUGAUAAAUAUUUGCUCCUAUAGGAACCUUCAGCAAAUCUAGCACAGAAUCUCAUACAGAGUAGGCUCUGAAUACAGAGAGCCCGAGUGCAUCGGAUGCUGUUGCUUCCUCUAUUAUUGUGAGAACCUGAGUGUGACAAUCAGAAUGAAUUUUUGCCAAAUGAAACAGUAUACCUUUAAGUCUUGUAUAUUGGAAUAUUUGAAACACGUACAAAAUCCUUGACAGGAAAUACUAGAGAUAUCCAGAAAUAACCUAAUCCACUAAAAUAACUCGUACUUGAAAAAGUAUUGUAAUGCUGAUACUCUAGUCUGUAUUUUUUGAAACUGAGCUUGAGCCUGAGAAUAAAAAUUUUUUUAAAGAUCUUAUCUUUUUCAUUACUAUGCCUGUGUCGUUUGAAUGCUGGAAAGAUAAAACUACAAGAAAGGGUGGGGGAUCAUUGUAAUUACCAAUCCACUCGCUAGCCCUUUUUAUUUUUAACAGGUUUGUGGGUGGCAUGAAGCAGCAAGUUAUACUUUGAAACACAUCUACUUGAAACCAAAAGCUAGCCAGCUGCUCCAAAUCUGCUAUUGUUAUCAAUCUCAUCUGGAAAAUAACUUCUCAAGCAGUUCACAGCUCUCAAAUGCUAAAUUCUCAAAACUUCAUAGGAAGCAUGUUAAAGGAAUCAGCUCUGCUCCCCUCCCCCUUCCACUGUUCCCAUCCUCAUGCCAGCAUUUCAAAUGACAGGAAAGUCUAGGAGACAUCAGUCCUGUCGGACUCAAUUUGUGUCUGUGCAAGCGUAUCAGAGCCAACUGCUACAUAAUGACUCGAUGCGAUCACAGAGAUGUAGAUGUAUGAAAUGUUCUCACAGGGAAGAAGUGAUUUGGCUCUUUCCUCUACCCGACUGCGAUGGCCUAAGAAGACCAAAUUCUUCCAAAUGAACCUACAAAUGUUACUCUGGACUUAAAACAAUGAUAGGGUCUGGGAAUGAGUGCAGCUAAAGAACAUAUAUAUUUAUACUCAAAUGGCCUGUGUCCUUGGUGCCGGAUGACAAGAGGAGCUGAGAGGUGUGAAGAUAAGACCUAUGCUAGAUGUUCAUUCCAGCUAAUCUCCACUUCAUAUCUUGUUGAUUACUUAGAAACAUUGCCAGAGGGGAAAUGCUGGCUU
rnacentral:lncRNA from 1 species